CAUUUACUAGCUGUGUGACCCUGGGCAAGUCACUUAACCCUGUUUGCCUCAAUUUCCUCAUCUGUAAAAUAAGCUGGAGAAGGAAAGGUUAAACUACUCCAGUAUCUCUGCCAAGAAAAUCCCAGAUGGGGUCACAGAGAGUCAGACAUAACUGAAAAACAAUUGAAUCCAUACAUCACAGAACCAAUCCCUGAACGGUAGAUAGUUGACUUGUUACAAUCAUUCCCAAAGAAUUAUAUAUUUAGAGCCAAAAGAGACCUUAAAGGUCAUCCAGAAAAACUACUAAUUUUUUUUAACAGGUGCAGGAACUGAGGUCCAGAGGGUUUCAGUGAUUUGCCCAAGGUCACCCAGGCAAGUUGGUGGCAAACUCAGGUUUCAAACCCGAGUGAUCUGACUUCAGAUACAUGGCUCUUACGAGGGACAAUAGCAAUAAAGAAAUAAGUCAGGCGGGCGAUGGGGAGGGACACUGCUGAAUGAUUUUUCCAUAAUCAGCUAUUAAAGACUUGUACUACUAAUUAGUCUAUUAAUUAGACAUUUUUUUCAUGCUUCCACAUGUUAUCAGCCUGCCAAGGCAGAGAAAACCCAACCCCUGGGACAGAAGAUAAGAAAAAUCAGAGAGACAAAGGUUGACAAAUAGAAGGAGUGGAGAUUCCUUGGCCUUUGGGUCCCCUGAGCCGGCGUACUCUAGAAACAACCCUCCCCAGACGGGGGUCCCCACUUCCAGUGACCAGGUAGGCAGGGUCAUUAUCUCAGGUAAGAGUUUUGCUUGUGUUCCUCCAUUAGAAUGUGAGUUCCUCAAAGGCAAGGGUCAUGUUUUUGCCUUUUUUUUUAUGUCCAGGUGCUUAGUUCCUCAGACAAGGUAAAUAAGUGCUUAAUAAAUGUUUACUGAAUAAGGAGCCCA
rnacentral:lncRNA from 1 species